GACGAACCGUCCAAACGUUAUUCGGAAUCACUGGGCUUAAAGCGUGCGUAGGCGGCUUGGCAAGUUGGGUGUGAAAUCCCUCGGCUCAACCGAGGAAUUGCGCCCAAGACUGCUGAGCUGGAGGGAGAUAGAGGUGAGCGGAACUAAUGGUGGAGCGGUGAAAUGCGUUGAUAUCAUUAGGAACACCGGUGGCGAAAGCGGCUCACUGGGUCUCUUCUGACGCUGAGGCACGAAAGCUAGGGGAGCGAACGGG
rnacentral:misc_RNA from 1 species